rnacentral:lncRNA from 1 species
GGGAGGAGGGCCAGGAUGUUUGUGAUACGAUCACAUUGUGCCGCUAAAUCCUGGCACACACCAUAGGAGCUGUGACUAAGAGGCACCAUUUCAGUAACCCAGCACGUGUAACUCUGGAGCCUACCGAGUUGUGCUGAGCUGUGAAAUGAGAUACAUCUCGUUUACUGUGAAGUAGUCAUCCUCGCUGUCAACAGGGUGCCUCGGUUCUCUAGUCAGUUAGAGUUAGAACUAGGGUUAUGGACGAUCCAUAUCUUGAUCUCAAGAGUCAAGACCCACGAGGCUCAUUUCCAGGUGUUCAUGAUGAAUGGACUGAAAAGAAUCUUAACCGACUUAAAGGAAUGUGGAGUGGUUUGCUUAAAGUUAUUCCAUUUGACAUCUCCAGGAAUAGAGCUUCCUGAGUGCUGAAGUCUGGUCUUCAGUGCCUUACCCCUGGACUGCACCCCCCCUGCUUUCUUCCUCUACGUGUCCACUCUUCGGGUUUACCUGUUUCUAUCACCUGUUCUCUCCUCUUCCCCCUCC